UAUUGAGGUGUCUGAUUAAAGUGGUAAACUGUAAAUUUUCUUAAGAAUUAAUUUUUAAUUCUCUCAAUAG
rnacentral:tRNA from 1 species